AUAUCGACUGUAAGCAAACAAAGAGAUGUCUGUUUGACAAUGUGUGUUUUCAACGGUGUAAAUGGACUUAAAAUAUGAACGAAAAGAUUAAUGACCACGACUAUGCUGUCCAGUUUUACACAGCAACACCAGUAUUCGACUCAAAACCGGAUGGAAAACAGAUUCAAGACAUUACUGUAUCACUCGAGAAGAAGUUGAAGUCUAACAGGAUCUGCUGUGUGCCCAAAUGUCACACCACUGGCUAAGGAUUGUUAGAAGGCCAUGGAAAGCCCAGCAAUCAUGCAUUUCCAGCUGAAGAUGAUCCAGUUCAAGCUGUUUGGUUGAAUAAAAUACGAAGAGAUGAAGACAGACAUUUUAAGAUAAGUCACAAUACGGUUGUCUGUUUUCUCCAUUUUGAACGUGACUGUCUUGAUGAAUCUGGAUUUGCUAAGCGGAGGUAUCUAAAACCAGGAGCCAUCCCUACAAGAUUCGACUGCUGGAAGGACAAACCACAUCUGUUGAAGCGAAUUCAAGUGGAACGUGCAAUUAACAAGAUUAAAAGUUUUCACAUAUUUGAUCAGGUCAUUCUGGUUUCUCUGUUUGGGAUAAUUAAUCAAAUUUGGACAGUUUGCUCAUUCUUUUCCAAGACCCAAUUAUACCAUGUCCUGGUGUUUAACAUACAUACCAUUUAUAUGAACAUUUGUUGUUCGUGUACAUCAUACUACAUGUAGGCUAAUGAAAAACCAUUGGCUGUUCAUGUAAUAUUUGUACAUUUUUUGGCUUUGUAUAAAGUUUUUGAUAAUUAUCUUGAUAUAAGCAUUGAUUUAGUUACAGAUUAAUGCUUAAAGAGUACUUAAAGCUACACACCUUGAAAUAAAGUACAUGUUCAUAUAGAUGCAAUUUGAAAGUGUGCAAAAUUUUCAUUAAACCUAUAGUCUAGUUAGCAAGUAAUUUAUUAUUUUUCAAACAGGAAUAACUGCUUUUAAAACUGAAAGAAGGAUUUCUAUAUUAAACACGAUUAUUUUUAACUUUUUAAAGCGCAAAAAAAGAUGGCUUUCUACCUUGUUACCACCAGAUAUAUUCUAGUUGGCAUAAUAAAAUUAAAUCUAUAGCCUAGUUUAAUAGCAAGUUAUUUUUUUUUCAAACAGUACUGCUUUUAAAACCGAAAGUAGGAUUUCCAGACGUACACAUCCAUUUCGACAAACGCGAUUAUUUUUAAGUUGUAAAGUGCAAAAAAGAUGGAUUUCUACCUUGUAACCACCAGAUAUAUUCUAAUUGGCAUAGAUAAAAUAUGUCACUCAUACUUAAAUUUACUAUGCCAAAUAAGGUGUGUGGCCUUUACAUAAAAAUUGUAUAUACAUCUUUUUAAUCAUGUUUGUUAAUUUGUUUUGAUUGUAUGACUACUGAAUAAAUAAUUUUGUUAAUAGAAA